CAGCUUGGGAAGGGUUAAAGGUAACAUACAUGGGUGGUGCACCAUCCGCGCCAUGGUUAAUCUGGGUAUACCCCUGGGGGAUGGAGCGCCGUUGUGGUUGUCUGCUCCCCCCUAAGUGGGGUGAGCCCUGGUCCACAACAACGACCUCCUCGGGCACCACCGGGCCGCGGUGCAGGGUGGUCUCAGGGGUGGCUGUAAUAGGGAGGCCAGCAGCGGGAGAGGUAGUUGGGUGGAAGCCCGAGGCCUGGGGGGAGGCACCCAUCGCAUAGGGCUGGUCCGAUGUCACUGACACCUCGGACCCAACCACCAUGAUUGGGUAACUGGGACUGGCGGGAGGGGCGUGAGGGACCAAUGCCGUGGAGGGGGCUGUCAUGGGGGCCGGAUGGGGUGGGCGUGAGAGGUGGGUGUUCAGGACGUGAGCAAGGGCAGUGAUUGGAUCGGAAGGCU